GGCGCCAUAGCCAAGUGGUAAGGCAGAGGUCUGCAAAACCUCUAUUCCCCAGUUCAAAUCUGGGUGGCGCCU
rnacentral:tRNA from 1 species